rnacentral:lncRNA from 1 species
CAGAGUGCAAGUUCAUCAGAACAGGUUGAUCUGGUUUGCUGGAGACUCUUAGAAGCCUCCUGGGAGAAAUGGGGAUAAAAGUUGUUGAAAUAGAUAGAUAACUCCAGGACUUAAGCUCUCAAACACAAAUGAUGAACAAAGACCAGCUUUACCUCCUGGAGAGUGCCUUCUCCAGAUAAAUGCAGGUAACUCAUCAAAGCCUCUGCCCUGAGUACUUAAUUGCUGGAGAGGGAACAUUUGGGCUGCAUAACAAAAAGCAUUACUUUUAUUUUCUCAGAUCAGCCUUAAGGAAGUGUCCCAAGUUUCAAAGGGAAAGUACCUGAGACAGUGGUGAAAGCUGGAAUGGUAAGUGCUAUAAAGAGGGGUAAAAAAGAUAUGCCUCACAGGACUCAUUUGUUAGAAGAAGAGGCAGUCUGCAAUGUAAAGUCAGCAAUCCCCACUUGUAAAUGUUAUUUGUGCCCCACACCACACUGAAGCAGGACUCAGUACCUCUUCUCACAACCCAGGAGGAAAUCUCUAAAACCAAAAUUUUAAUUGUAAUCAUAUUUUACAGUCUCAUUUGGAAUAUGGGAACAAGGGGAAGUUAGAUCACAGAAUUACUAACAAAAUACUUAAAAGUUUUAA